ACACCUUUUUCAGAUGUUAGUUGAGGCGCUUCUGAUUUUCUCAAUCAGUUGAAGCAUGCGGUGCACUUUCUGAAUGCCAUUUUUUCUUCCUUGCAUCUCAUCCCAAAUGCAAGCAAGCAUGCUUCUACCGAGGCUUAGAAGAAGCCAUGGAUGAGCCGAUGCACCUGGCGACUAGCCGAAUUGACGAGGAGGAGCAGAUGGCGGGGUCGAAGAGAGAUUACCUGGACCCGGACGAUUGCGCCGGAGAUGGUGGAGAUGUUCAUGGCGGCGACGGCGAGGGCAUCAGGAGGAUGGAGGGGCCCGGCGUCUUCGGCGAGCAUGCCGAGCUCGAGCACUUCUGGGGCAGAUUCGAAGGAGCGGGGUAGAGUAGGGCCUGCGAGUCCCGCGCCUCCGCGUCCGCAUCCAACGGAGUCAAGCGCUGGCGCGAGCAUGCCGAGCUCGAGGGACACAUCGGCCACUUCCGCGACCUGAUUCGAAUGGGAGGGGCGGCCUGCCAGGGAGCGUCAGCGCUGGUGAGGAAGGGGAGGGACGGCCUGACCAGGAGCGCCGGCGGUGGUGACGAAGGGGAGGGGGCGGCCUGCCAAGGGAGCGCCGGUUUCACAUAUAUUUGUCCUUGUAUUGUGUCAGUAUGAGAAUAUCCUUCCUAAAUUAUUUAUCCAAACCUGCUGAGGAGGAGAGAAUGGGGAACGGGGAGAUUGUGGGCGGCGAUGGGGAACUAUCCAGAGAAGAAAUGUAUGUGGGCAGUGGAGUACCAGGCAGUGGACGUCGUGGCGUUGUCCACACCAAAAGAAAUCUUCUUUUUACAUUCUUCGAAUAAUACAUUUUUUUA